rnacentral:precursor_RNA from 15 species
UAUCUUUCUUCGAUCCCUUCCAGUUGCUCCUUUCACACCAGAUGCUCCCUUUUGUGAAUUCUGUAAAAAGGGAUAUCCUGUGUGAAAGGAGUUGCUAGGGCCAAAUCCCUCGGCAGGAA